GCGUUCCGCAAAUGAUGGAUAAAAUCAAACGAGAGGCUGCAUUGACGCUAACCGCUUACGCAAAACGUGCUGUGGAGAAGGGAGCUGUCUGCUGUGAAAACAGCCUGCACAAGGACAAGUGAGGAUGGAGAGGAGUGUUUGACAAGCAGAGUGCCUUACACGCGCUUCAGAGAGAGUGUGUGUGCUUCUGAGUGGGAUAAAUCACUGGAAGGAAUUCUACCAGCCCCACGAAACUAUCUGCUUAAAAGGACAAAGGUGAACUAUCAAGCUGCUUUUUGUGAUAAUCAAUGGAUCAGUAUUUUUUGUAGGGUUCAGCACUGGAGUAGAUUGUUUUCUGCAGACCAGGAAUCUGGGUGUGGACCAACAAGUUUGGGGAUAAAAGGGAAAAAACAUUAACAGGAGUGGUGAGAAAAAUUCCUUGGUGGACCAUUUUCCACAAUGUCUGGGAGCCAGGAGCCAUUCUGGGUCUCUGUCUUGUUUUCAUUACAAUUUUAUUUAAACAUAAGCAGCUGCCUAUGCAUGUGAAUUUUUUAUCUGCGUCAAUUUCUUAAAUUCUUUCCAUAUUAAAACAUGUUCAUGUGCA